AGAGUUUGAUCCUGGCUCAGGGUGAACGCUAGCGGUGCGCCUAACACAUGCAAGUCGAGCGGUAAAAUUUCUAGCUUGCUAGAAAUUUGAGAGCGGCGAACGGGUGAGUAACACGUUGGUAUCUGCCCCCAAGUCAGGGAUAGCCAUUGGAAACGAUGAUUAAUACCGGAUAGUCUCUUCGGAGUAAAAAUUUAUUGCUUGGGGAGGAACCUGCGGUCUAUCAGCUAGUUGGCGAGGUAAUAGCUCACCAAGGCUAUGACGGAUACCUGGUCUGAGAGGAUGAUCAGGCACAAUGGAACUGAGACACGGUCCAUACUCCUACGGGAGGCAGCAGUGAGGAAUCUUCCACAAUGGACGAAAGUCUGAUGGAGCGACACCGCGUGAAGGAUGAAGGCCUAACGGUUGUAAACUUCUUUUCUGAAGGAGCAUAAUGAGAGUACUUCAGGAAUAAGGGACGGCUAAAUACGUGCCAGCAGCCGCGGUAAUACGUAUGUCUCAAGCGUUACCCGGAAUCACUGGGUGUAAAGGGUUCGUAGGCGGUUUAAUAAGUUGGAUAUGAAAGACCGGGGCUCAACCCCGUGUUGGUGUUCAAAACUGUUAAACUAGAAUCAGGGAGGGGUAAGUGGAAUUCUGUGUGUAGGGGUGCAAUCCGUAGAUACACAGAGGAACACCAAAAGCGAAGGCAACUUACUGGAACUGUAUUGACGCUCAUGAACGAAAGCGUGGGUAGCGAAAAGGAUUAGAUACCCUUG
rnacentral:rRNA from 1 species